GUUUAAUUAGUUUAAUUACAAAAUUAUAAAUUGUGGAUUUAUAGAUGAAAUUCAUUAAACA
rnacentral:tRNA from 1 species